GAAGUCCUUGGAGUCAGAUGAGCAGGCCUCCGCCACUCUGCCAAAAAGAAGUUUCACAUCACUAGAGAAGAGAGAAGAAGGACAUUUGUACUGGGAGGAGUCGACCGGUCCCAGUAAGGAGAAAGUAGCUACAGCGUCAUGGGUGAGCUGGGUCCCCCAAAAAGGAACUUUAAGGGAAUGGACUGAAUCAAGUCUGAGAUGUCCCCAAAGCAAGACCAAAGAACUGAGGAAGAGAAGCAUUCAUCAGAAACCAAAAUUCAGCUACAAGUGAGCAUCCAGAUGGAGGUAUUAUGAAGAGGAACUGAGACUGAGGGCAAAAGGUGCCAGCCAGAAUCCUGGAUAGGAGAGCAAGAACCAGGACCUCAUUUAAGAGACAACCUGCUUAAGGCAGAGUAAGCACAAAUGGGCACUCAACAUCAAUGAAGUAACAGCAAAGUCACAUAAUAAAAGCAUGGAAUUAAGACAAGCUGAAGAUUCGGAUGCAAUAAAACAACCACCCAUUAU
rnacentral:lncRNA from 1 species